rnacentral:lncRNA from 1 species
CCGCACGCUGCGUAGCAUCAGCAGGUAAGUGGCGCAGGGUGAGCAAGGCCUGGGCCUGGGGAUAUGUCCGCACCCGCGAUCGAGCAAAACUGCCACCUACAGCAUCCGCUAAGCACCUGCAGCAGGCCAUACUCUCUUAACGUCCUGGGUUCAGACACGGAUACAACCCCAGCCUGGGCCCAAUGCAUGUCGCUCUGAGCUAGUGUCCCGCACCUGCAGGAUGUACUGGGUCGUCUCCACAAAGCGGCGCGCGCAGUUUUCCAAGCAAGUGCUCUCCUUGCUGGACAGAUAGCUUCCUGGAGACUGGACACAGGUGUCCCAGCACACCUGUAGGCCACCAAAGGGUAGAUUAGGGCCAAGGCGGUGCAGGAACGAAAUACCGCUGGGUUUCAGGGGUGUCUUGUGCAGUUGCCCUUGGGGGGUUGACCUUGGGCCCCGUCAUCCACAUCCACCUCGCCAACCCCCUGCCAUGUAACCCCGGAACCGAUAUUUGGUAUGGGUACCGAGAUGCCUGGCACCUCAACCCGACGGCGGAGGAGAAGCACGCCUCAACAUCAGACUGAUGUUGCCGGCCGGCCAGUCCCGACAGGUUGACAAGCUCAGAUCAGCACUGAAUGCCCAUCUAUAUGCGCACGGCACAUAUCACAGGGCUUUGGGCUGCGAAAUGCAUUGCGCAACCCAGAUGCUCUGCCUCAUCGCUCGGGGUUCACUGCCUGUCACCCAAGC